AACGAACGCUGGCGGCAGGCUUAACACAUGCAAGUCGAACGGUUGUAGCAAUACAGCAGUGGCAGACGGGUGAGUAACACGUGGGAACCUUCCUAGGGGUACGGAACAACUCAGGGAAACUUGAGCUAAUACCGUAUACGUCCGUAAGGAGAAAGAUUUAUCGCCCUUAGACGGGCCCGCGUCGGAUGAGGUAGUUGGUGGGGUAACGGCCUACCAAGCCAACGAUCCGUAGCUGAUCUGAGAGGAUGAUCAGCCACACUGGGACUGAGACACGGCCCAGACUCCUACGGGAGGCAGCAGUGGGGAAUCUUGGACAAUGGGCGCAAGCCUGAUCCAGCCAUGCCGCGUGAGUGAAGAAGGCCUUAGGGUUGUAAAGCUCUUUUGGCAGGGACGAUAAUGACGGUACCUGCAGAAUAAGCCCCGGCAAACUUCGUGCCAGCCGCCGCCGUAAUAC
rnacentral:rRNA from 1 species